rnacentral:rRNA from 1 species
GAUGAACGCUGGCGGCGUGCCUAAUACAUGCAAGUCGAGCGAACAGACGAGGAGCUUGCUCCUCUGACGUUAGCGGCGGACGGGUGAGUAACACGUGGAUAACCUACCUAUAAGACUGGGAUCACUUCGGGAAACCGGAGCUAAUACCGGAUAAUAUAUUGAACCGCAUGGUUCAAUAGUGAAAGCCGGAUUUGCUGUCCCUUAUAGAUGGAUCCGCGCCGCAUUAGCUAGUUGGUAAGGUAACGGCUUACCAAGGCAACGAUGCGUAGCCGACCUGAGAGGGUGAUCGGCCACACUGGAACUGAGACACGGUCCAGACUCCUACGGGAGGCAGCAGUAGGGAAUCUUCCGCAAUGGGCGAAAGCUUGACGGAGCAACGCCGCGUGAGUGAUGAAGGUCUUCGGAUCGUAAAACUCUGUUAUUGGGGAAGAACAAAUGUGUAAGUAACUAUGCACGUCUUGACGGUACCUAAUCAGAAAGCCACGGCUAACUACGUG